UCAGGCCUUCUAGGGCCGCCCAUCCUUUCGGCGCUCGCUCGCUGCUGUAUCCAGCUCUGUGGCAGGCCUGCUCUUUUGCGGGCGACGUCAGUCGGCCCCGAACGCGGCUGCAAGGCCUAGGCUUCGUCCCGGGCCUGCCUUAGCGACAGGCUUGUUGCUCCGCGCUCCAGGGCGGGUUGGCCGCAAGGCUUUGAGUAGGGGUCCCGGGCCUUCCGGGUGGUGGCGGUCGUUGCCACUCGAUACUUAGCUCUCUCCCUUCCUCCUGUAUCUGGCGACAUUUGCUCCUUACUGGUCUUACCUAUUUAACCACCGAAUAUGCAGAUGCCUACGAUAAAGUUGCAGAGUUCUGAUGGAGAGAUAUUUGAAGUUGAUGUAGAAAUUGCCAAACAAUCUGUGACCAUUAAGACCAUGCUGGAAGAUUUGGGAAUGGAUGAUGAGGGAGAUGAUGAUCCUGUUCCUUUACCAAAUGUUAAUGCAGCAAUUCUAAAAAAGAAUUUGUUGUUGUAGGUCAUUCAGUGGUGCACCCACCACAAGGAUGACCCUCCUCCUCCUGAGGAUGAUGAGAACAAAGAGAAGCGGACAGAUGAUAUUCCUGUUUGGGACCAAGAAUUCCUGAAAGUUGACCAAGGAACACUUUUUGAACUUAUUCUGGCUGCAAACUACUUAGACAUCAAAGGUUUGCUUGAUGUCACCUGCAAGACUGUGGCUAAUAUGAUUAAGGGGAAAACGCCUGAGGAGAUUCGUAAAACCUUCAAUAUCAAAAAUGACUUUACUGAAGAG
rnacentral:lncRNA from 1 species